ACUGAAUUACAGGCUCCUUACUUAAAUAAAUGUUCAUAACAUACUAAAUGUAUGUUCAUAUUGAAAUUGAUAGAAACCCAAAAAUUGGGAACUUUGGAAAUAAAGGUGGAGGGUAAAAAAAAAAACAUUUUCCUGUCCCCAAUAACCUAUGACUUAUGAUACUUUUGCUGAAAUUCUCCAGUCAUUCUGUAUUUAACAAAAUUCUUCCAACAACACUUUACAUACUGAUACUUUAAACUGAUACUUUAAACUACGCUCUGAAUGCCCGCGAUUUCGCGGGUGUGUUCUAGUAAGGUUUAUAA
rnacentral:lncRNA from 1 species